rnacentral:rRNA from 1 species
GUCUACAGCCAUGCCACCCUGAACAAACCCUGAACAAACCCGAUCCUGUCUGAUCUCGGAAGCUAAGCAGGGUCAGGCCUGGUUAGUACUUGGAUGGGAGACCAACUAGGAAGACCAGGUGCUGUAGGCA